AGGUGUUUAUCGUUGCAAAGAAUAUUACGUAUUUAAACAUAAAAGUUUGCUGUAAACCCUGGCACGUUGUGCAAUUGAGAAAGCUCGUCCCAGCACCUCGCCAGCAGCAAUUUGACGGAAUUGGCGAAAGAAUUUCCGAGGCCGACGCUGCCCGUCAUCAGGAACAUCAUCAAGAGCUGACUCUGCUUGUUCAGCAAGUUCAUAGUGGUUUACACACAGCAGGAGAGAGAAAAGCAGUUUGUAAUCUUUAAAGGGUGAGAGGUAUACAUUGACGUACAGGGAAUAAGUGAACACCUGAUGAGAUUCUUCAAUAUAAUAUGAAAUAAUAAUAUAAUUCAAAUUAUCCAAUCUUGUUAAUUAUUAAAUUACGUAUUAAUACAAGAAGAAUAUGAUAAAUUUCAAGAGUC
rnacentral:lncRNA from 13 species